UACGAAGGGGGCUAGCGUUGUUCGGAAUUACUGGGCGUAAAGCGCGCGCAGGCGGUUUCUCAAGUCAGUGGUGAAAGCCCGGAGCUCAACUCCGGAACUGCCAUUGAAACUGUGAAACUUGAGGACGAGAGAGGUGAGUGGAAUUCCCAGUGUAGAGGUGAAAUUCGUAGAUAUUGGGAAGAACACCAGUGGCGAAGGCGGCUCACUGGUCCGGUACUGACGCUGAUGUGCGAAAGCGUGGGGAGCACACAGG
rnacentral:rRNA from 1 species